ensembl:lncRNA
CGCGGUUUCCCAGUAACGUGACAUGCUGUGUCUUUGUUUUUUUGUAAGAUGUUCAACAACAUUAAAUGUAACUAUAAAUGGAUAAAAAAAAAGUACACUGUGUCAUUGUUUAUAAACUGAAUAUUGCAAGUGCUGUAGAAGUGAUGAAUGGCCCAUACCUAGUUUACACACACACACACACACGUCUACGUGUUGCAUAGUAGGAGGAGAAGCAAGUGUUGUGGUAAACUGUAAACCCCGCUUCUGUCCUCGCUUGAGCAGGUUCUGUAAAAAGGUCAUGAUCUUGAGUGGUUUCGUUUUUAAAGCAGCGCAAACUGGAAAUUCACGACUCGGGUUCUUCCCCUCUGAGUCAGCUCAUUCAGCUGUCUCUCUCUCUCUCUCUCAGGGUUUGAUCAGUGUAAUAUUACCCACAGCAUCGACAGUGUGUAUCUGCUAGCCUUUGUUUAAUAGAAACUGGUCUCCAGGUGCUUUUGAUGAACUCCUCUAGGACGGCUCUCGUUUCUCUCUGGGAAGGACUGUCGCGUGAUUCUCAGUUUAUUAGAUCUGUUUUUGCUCCGUGUUUUCCCCCUGCACGUGUCUACGCUCGAAUUUCCUCUCUCUCUGUGUCUUUUAGCUUAACACGAUGAGCGGGGAUGUUUAGGCUCUGACGUCCUAGUCUAGUGGAUGUCGUUUUUAAAUCUUCCAGGCGUACAUAGGCAGCUAGUGUGUAAACGACGCCAAUCACGUUGCCACCUCUUCAUGUAAAGCCAAGUGUCGGGUGUAAACCCAGACUCCUCUGCUUUGCUGUAUCGCUCCAGACUGAAGUGGACUUUUUUUUCCUGUAACAACACUUCUCACUAGACUGGUAAGUCAGUACAAGGAGUAUUUGGUUUUUAGUGUCUUAGGUUAAACGUGUGUAUGUUACCGACAUCAUAAAAUGUUCAAAUGUUACUGUAGCCCUGUAUUAUAUAUCUACAAUAAAAAAGUCUGCACAUGAGUCUGUAGCGUCCGUCUGUGAGUCCGUAGUGUCCGUAGCGUCAGCGCGUGAGUCCGUAGCGUCAGCGCGUGAGUCCGUAGCGUCAGCGCGUGAGUCUGUAGCGUCAGCGCGUGAGUCUGUAGCGUCAGCGCGUGAGUCUGUAGCGUCCAUCUGUGAGACCGUAGUGUCCGUAGCGUCAGCGCGUGAGUCUGUAGCGUCAGCGCGUGAGUCUGUAGCGUCAGCGCGUGAGUCUGUAGCGUCAGCGCGUGAGUCUGUAGCGUCCAUCUGUGAGACCGUAGUGUCCGUAGCGUCAGCGCGUGAGUCUGUAGCGUCAGCGCGUGAGUCUGUAGCGUCAGCGCGUGAGUCUGUAGCGUCAGCGCGUGAGUCUGUAGCGUCAGCGCCGUCUGCGCAUAAGUCUGUAGCAUCUCUGCCUUU